UGGGGAAUAUUGCACAAUGGGCGAAAGCCUGAUGCAGCAACGCCGCGUGAGUGAUGAAGGUCUUCGGAUUGUAAAGCUCUGUCUUUUGGGACGAUAAUGACGGUACCAAAGGAGGAAGCCACGGCUAACUACGUGCCAGCAGCCGCGGUAAUACGUAGGUGGCGAGCGUUGUCCGGAUUUACUGGGCGUAAAGGGUGCGUAGGCGGAUGUUUAAGUGAGAUGUGAAAUACCCGGGCUUAACUUGGGUGCUGCAUUUCAAACUGGAUAUCUAGAGUGCAGGAGAGGAGAAUGGAAUUCCUAGUGUAGCGGUGAAAUGCGUAGAGAUUAGGAAGAACACCAGUGGCGAAGGCGAUUCUCUGGACUGUAACUGACGCUGGGGCACGAAAGCGUGGGUAGCAAACAGGAUUAGAUACCCUGGUAGUCCACGCCGUAAACGAUGAGUACUAGGUGUAGGAGGUAUCGACCCCUUCUGUGCCGCAGUAAACACAUUAAGUACUCCGCCU
rnacentral:rRNA from 1 species